GUACUCUUGUCCCAGCUCCUCCUCCCUUUUCUCCACUUCCUGUAUCCCUUGGGUUGAGCAACUCUGUUCCAACAGACCCUUCUACCAUGUUGUUUCUGCCUUGGAGCCAGCAACCCAUGAACUGAACCCUCUGAAACUAUCAAGCGGCAUGAGAGUAAGAGCUGAUUUUGCUAACUCCUUCGUCCCCGCGCCCGCCCGAAGACCACCCACACCUAACCAGCGAUCAAUGAGUACUUGUUGAAAGAACAAAUGAGCCGGGGAUGUAGCUCAGUGGCGCCGCCUGCCUCGCAAGCACAAGGUCCCGAGUUCCAUCCCCGCUACCAAAAACACCCAAAACCAAAAACCAAGAACAAAUGAAGUAAGGUGGAGGAAAAGCGCGUGGCCUGUAACAGAGCCUCGCCGCCCUGCCUGACCCCGCUCUGGCCCGAGGCCUGAGAAGCAUCCAGAGAGGCUGCUGAGUGGAACCUAGAAGGUGACAGACCCCGGGACACGUAAAAAUAAACUGGACACUGGCAGAUCAUGGCUGCAAUAGAGGAGGUUCGAUGCCCCGAUGGUCCUCUGAUGCUGGGUCUGUGCACUGAGCCAGGGCCUGCAGGAAUCACAGCCAGCCCCGUGAAUCCAGCUGGGGCGCGUCAGGAAUCGGCCUCACCUUGACUCACCAUCAUCACGGUCACCUGCCUGCCGUCUCCCUGCCGGCGUCCUGGGCCUGGAGGUGCUGUGGGAGGUCAGAACUAUUUACAGUGGCUAAAUAUCAGCAGUCCAGAAAGUGAAAAAGGAUUAUUAUAGAAGAGAUUAGGGAAAUGGAAAAUAUUUUUCUUUCAAUAACUGAGAAUAGAAAAACGUCAUGAGGUAAAAAACGUUGAAAAAACUUCUUAAAUGACUUAAAAUAAUGACUGGCAUUCUGAUGAGAAGUUAUUAACAAGACGCAAGAGACAACUGAGAUGAAGACCACAGGGAACAUCCGGAUCGGCAUCCUGCACACCACUACUCGGAAUUUACCGAAAGAACCAUAAAAGCACGAGAAAGAAUCACACAAAGUGGUUUCAUUUCUGUGACUGUAGAGAUGGGGUAUCGGGUGCUCUGUCCUUGCAGCUGAUAUGAG
rnacentral:lncRNA from 1 species